CACAAACUCAAUGAAUAGACAGCUUAUGAGGAUUAAUUGUUUUUAUUAAAAUAGUGGGAUAUAAUUAGAUAAAUCUCCACGCUAUAUCCAAUCUUCACUUUUUAUAUUUCAUUUAGUUUUUGGCUUCUAAGUCUUGAUAAGGAAACGUGUUGCUUCAGACUUCAGAGCAAAGAAAUACAGAGAGAACCAGGGAAGUUAUUCAAGGCUUCAAUUAGGAAGUUAAGAAGGAGAGCAAAAGGCAAAAUGGGUGGUUUACAAAUAAUAAACUAGUGCGUGGAAAAGUUCCAGCUAACUAAUGAGUAUCUUCCUCGCACAAGACAAGCAAGAAUGUCCGAGGGGUUGUCUUUUCCCCAUUAAAAAGGGCUCCGCAAGUGGAGCUCCAAUUAACCUUUCUUCUCCACUCAACAAAGAACUACAGGAAGGAUAAAAAAAAACUCAGAAAACGAAUAUUUGGAGCAGGAUAUAGUAUUCAACUAUGGGUGUGUUUUGGUACAAAGGAAAAUGACUUCCAGUGUUUGGUCACUACAAAUUGUGAUAAAUGCUAAGUAUCUAAUGAAAAUAAUUUCUACCAAAAGGAAGGAAAUUCACUUGUGUCACUUGUUGACUGCAGUCAUUUUCUUUUACAAAUAUCCCAACUCUUCCACCAGAAUACUUACUUCAAUCAACACCUUACACAUUGUUAACAACCUUUAAUACUCAAAAAUCCCACCAAAACACAUCCCUAUACCCAAUGCUGCAUCUUGUAGUAUCACCAUUCACUUACUUUUAUACCUAUCAAAAUAUUUUCAAAAUUAUCUUUUUUCCCUAAUAACAAGUGGCAUCCGCUCUAACUUGCGUAUACCUCACUAUUCCACCAAAUACCUAAAUAACAGCUAAACAUAGAGGCACAGACACAAACACAAAAAAAAAAAAAAAAAAAAAAAAAAAAAAA